UUGCGCGCGGGAGGCGCGGGAGGCGCGGGAGGCGCGGGGCGGGGGCGGCUGCGGCCCGCGCUCCCCUCGCUCCUCCCUCCUCGCUGCCCCGGCGCGCUCUCCCGGCGCUCGCCGCCAGCCCGUCGGCCCCGCCCCGCAGGCUGCCCCGCCCUCGCGCCGCCGCCGCGUGUCUCCGGCCCUCCCCGCCGCCCGCUCCUUCCCGCCGCGCGGCUCUGGGUUAGGGGUGCCCGGCGCCCCCGCCCUGCAUUGUCCCUGGUGCAGCGCCCCCUGCCGGCCACCGUGCUGCGCUUUUGGGGCCCGCGGCGCCCUGGCAAAAGGCCGUUGAGCCCAUCACUGAGUUUCCCGACGCUUCCAUGACCGCGCGCGUGGUGUGGUACCUCUGGAGAUUAUUGUCCUAUUCGGAACAGCACAGCCGAGAGCUCGAGGAAGCGUCACGCACUUCUCUCUGGAUCUUCAAGUCAGCGCCUCUGCUGUUCUGUCAAAAACUAACAGCGAUCCCCUGAGCUUUUGGCCGUGAGCCGAACACUAUUCUGCUAAGUGCUCCCAUCAUGAUGCCGAUACAAGCCUGAAGCAACGAGGCCAAAUGAGCACGGGGACUUUGAAACUGUGAGCCAGGACAA